rnacentral:tRNA from 1 species
GCAUUGGUGGUUCAGUGGUAGAAUUCUUGCCUUCCAUGCAGGAGACCCGGGUUCGAUUCCUGGCCAGUGCA